AAACCCCCCAAUUAAUAACUUUACUUAGAAACACUCAAAGGACAAUCAAUAUGAUGUGGCCAACCAGUUUGCAUCUAAAGCAUGAGGGCUGAAUUGGCAGUUUGUAUCUGCCUCGCCUUCUUGGUAUACAACCUCGGCCAGGAUGCAUAAAAGUGGGCAUUAUGGGAGGAUUAUAAGAUUGCGCCAGGAAUGUGGGCAUUAGCCCUGUAACCCAAGCAGCUUGUGGUGGCAUUGACGAGACAGCUCAUCCAGUGACAACAAAAGGUAAUCAUGUGAAAGUUAAUCCCUUUAAAGUCGCCACAAUGUCUGAUAACGCUAAAGUGUGAUUUGAGGCAAUAUUUACGACAGCGUGGUUUACCUGUGUCGGGGUCAAAGCAUGAACUUGUUCAAAGGGCAAAAGGUGCUGACGAAAUUGGAAAACGGAACUCGAAGAGACUAGAAUCGCCAAUGAGAACUUCGCGGCUGUGAGAAGGGAAAACACCGUUAGAACUCUUAUCAUUGAAAAGUGGUUGGACAAGAGAUGUGACACAAAUACCUCAAUUCACGAACAACAGUCUUUACAAUUAUCUUGUGCUGAAUGAUUCCAGAACAUUUGACAAUAAGCCAAUUAAUGCCAAAAAACAAUUGAAAGCUUAAGUGUUUUACACGGACAGACAUCUUCAUUCUAUUGAGUUUCAUGAAAUAAACAGGACAAUUUCACAUUGCUAUUUUAGAGCAAAAGUAUUGAAAUCUCUGCCAGGAAUGUCCAAUAAAGAUAACAAAUUCGAAUACAGAGUUUGGACAUGUCUGUCUAAAAUAUCUGGUCGUGUACUUGCUGCUGGAUGUGAAUGUCAUGCUGGUGGUGGUAUUAUCAAGUGUAAUCCUUUCAGUGUCAUUAAAUCACUUAUCAGAAAGCCUUUAUGAGACAUGAUGGCAUCACUGCGCUCACAUAGGUCAAGUAUACCACAAGAUCGUGUGAUCUGCUUGUCACUUACACUACCAGCCCACAUGUCAGACACAAAAGUUAUUAAUCCAGAAGGACUUAUUCCAAGCAAGGCUUUGUAAGUCAUAAUAUUAUGCGAUUUGUAGUGUUAAUACAUUAAUGACUUGUUUAUUAAAGAUUGGGGUGUCUCGGUAAAAAAAUCUGGACAGUCAAUAAUAACGCGGGUACUUUGAUAUGCUGACUGAAAUUUCCUCGGCAUGGUAUUUUGGAUCACUGAUUUGGUAGGCAAGUUCAACAAGAAAUCAAGUUUCACAGACAGAUAGUCUGUCCACUUGUUUAUGAUCACUGAACAUGUUGAUUUUGAGAUGUGGAAGCAUGUUGCUCUUAGACAAAUAGACCAGUACGAAGUGACAUCUGACCGUCCACAAAAUGUGCUGAACAUAGCCUCACAUUGUUGUUGAAGGUGAAUUUCUUCAAUCAGUUUUUACACGUUUUAUCCAUGUUCGUCUCAAAUUAAUGUUCGCUGGAAAUCUGUGUAACACAAUUCUUUGUCCAUUAAUUAACCACUUUCCCAUGGAAAUUUGAACAAACACAACAGUCAUGCCUUUUUUUCUGCGUUGAUUUGAUAAUACUAAUAGGAGUCACCAUGUUUUUUGCAGCUGAUUUGCUCACCGGAAAUGAAGCAUUGCACCAGUUUUAUCUUUUAUGUGAAGAUCUCUCUAAAGGGGCCUAACUGAAAUCUGUACUUCCUGAACUGGGCUAUACUUAUGGACAAUACCAAUAACAUAUACAGGACUGCUUCUCCAUUUUAACCCUUUACCACACAGGACAGUAGCCAAAGUAACCUCCUUUACAUAACACUGUUAUGUGAUAAUCUAUAAUCAAUAUAUGGCUGAUAAGCGUGACUGUCUUAUCUGAACAGAAGUGUUGGCAUUAUUUUGUGAUUACACACACUUAUGUUUAAAAUAUCAUUAUUUUAAUAUUUUCUGUAAGUUUUGACAUUAUUUUGUCAAUAUAAAGUUUAUAGCAAUUUAAAUUCUCUUUCUGAUGAUAAAAAAUUCAUUGUAGUUUCUCUUCGAAUUUCGAAGAUAAAAAGUGUUAAAGUACGGGAAAUAUAUUUUUAGGCAUAAAAUUCUGUUUUGGAUUACUUUCACAUUGAUAUUCAUAUACAAUUUCAUUUUGAUGUUUGAAAGUUCGAUUUAGAUCUAUAGUUAAUGAACUCAUCUUCCAAAUUGGCAUCGGGAAGUAUUUAUAUAAAAAAACAUCCAUCAAACAGAAUAACACUACAUAAAUAACAGAUCGUAAAAUUUCUGAAAGUACAAAAAGAUCGCUGACAUCGAGACACGUAACCGACUACAGUAUUCUUGUGCUAAAAAUUAAAAUAUUUUUAGAUAAUAUUACGUAAUAUUUUGCUGAUCAAGCGUCGGUACAUCACGGGUGACUUCCGCUGCAAUUAACUCUUGGGAGUGUCAAAAAAUGUUUGGAAGUCGGGGUCCUUCUGUUUUGAAUAACACUUCCCAUUAUGUAAGGCCAUAAAUUCCAAGCCAUCGUAUACACAAAUUGUUGUUUAGGGGAAAUCCGCAUAUAUCACGCGUGACCUUCAUGACCUAACACAUUUAAAAAUAUUUAGAUGUUAAAUGGUUGUUAUAUUUAGAACAAGGAAAGUCCCGCGGACCGGCCAGUUACAAGUAGUUUUCACAGUAAUUUUCCAUGACGGUGAUAAACGUAUCGAUGUGGGAAAGGGUUAAAUCAGUAUUGCAGUUGUUUCUUUUUGUUUGUUUUAUUACAUAGAUUUAUUGAAAAAAAGAAAGAACAAACUUCUAAAAUACAAGCCUAUUAUACUAUAAUUUGGUUGUCUCUGACCCAGCAAGUGUCAAGAGAGAAUAAACCACUGAAGAAAGUUUAUCUCACAUUUCCUCCUACUUAUCACUCUGCAACACGUGAAACUUGUCUCUACACUGCACUCCUCUCACAGCACAGCACAGCCUCAGUGUCCAAAACUUGCUUGAAAUAAUAAAAGUUUACAAAUAUUUUAUCACCAUGUUUUCUCUUAGUCAGCCUGUACUUGUAUCGUACCAUACUGUACCAGUGUGUAUGAGUAGUAUAUUGGCUGGUUUGGACAGGUUAAUGUUGUUAACCAAAGAUUGUUAUGUUGCAUCAAGUAAGGUAACAGAGCAUGUGCCAGUUCAUGUAAAAGUGUACCAAUCACAUGCAUUUCUAAAUGAUGUUAUGGGAUGUCCAAUUUGAUAUAGAUAUUGUUAUCAUUAUGAAACUCGGUAAUAUCAUAUGCAUUUGUUAAAGAAGUACAGCCACUUAGAAGUUCAAUUUUUAUUGUUUUAACGUUUGACUUUCUUUUUGUCAAAAACGGUAGAAGAUAUUGUAAUAUACUUCUACAAAGAGCAAUGGCCCUUGAAUAAUCCACUUGUCCAGAGGCACCCUCGUUAUUUAUCUUAGUCACAUCAACAGAGCACACUUCAUUUUCAGGAAACAUCACUAAAUCACAAGCUUGUACAUGCGCUCUUACCAUCAAAUUGUCUUCUGACAUUAACAUGUGUUCUUUUGGAAUUGAUCACCAUGUUUUCUCUUAGUCAGCCUGUCCUUGCAUCGUACCAUACUGUACCAGUGUGUAAGAGUAGUAUAUGGGCCGGUUUGGCCACGUUAAUGUUGUUAACCAAAGAUUGUUAUGUUGCAUAAAGUAAGGUAACAGAGCAUGUGCCAGUUCAUGUAAAAGUGUACCAAUGACAUGCAUUUCUGAAUGGUGUUAUGGGA